rnacentral:lncRNA from 1 species
GGUUUGUCAUUUAUCAAAAUCUACAAAUAUGAACACACGUUUAGUUUAGUGACUUGAGAACGUGUUUCAACAAAAGUAUCCACAUGAAUAAGUUUGAACGAAUGAGAUGUCUUAAUGUAUUUAUCGGGAAAAAGUAACCUAGGUUAUCUAGUCACAGAGACAAGAAGAGCAGGUAAAUGGUUGUUAGAAAAAUUUCUACAUAGAAUAGCAGCAAUAUUUAUUUAUUCUAAUAAAAGGAAUAUGUCCCUAUCCUUGAUGCUAUAAGACUUCCUCUUUAAUUCCAUAAAACGUAAAAUCAGUUUUACAAUGAGAGCUAUCAGAUGAAAUAGAUAGUAUGACAACAAAACUAAAGAGCACCAUUUGAAACCAACAAGCUUAAACUGAGUUGAAGAUAUUAGAAGUCUAUAGUAAAGGGGAGUUUACCCACUUCCAAUAUCUUUUUUAAAAAAAAGGGCUUGUAGAGUACAUAAAAGUGAGGUGAAUUGGAUCGAAUCAUAUAGUUGGAUAGCUAGUCGAGAAAAUGAGAUAAGAUCGUAUUAAAAAAUAUGGAGAAACGACACAUGAUGCAAAGUAAAUGAAAAUAAAGUGAGAGAGUGUAUAGAAUUAACCUUUAUAUUGUAACCACUAGGAAGAGUGGUAAUAUAAGGGAUUACAAAAAGCUAAAUUUUUUAAGAAGAUCUUUGUAUGUAUUCACAUAAUGUACAACUCCAGAAUUCAAAAACUCAAUUAGGUUUAGCAACUCUACUUCACAAUUAAGCACUAUAACACACUUCUACACAACCAACUAUUACUAGCCAAAUUGGGAGAUGCUGUAAGACUUGACUGAGAGAAAGACUUUGACAUAUGAAUGUGUUACUAGGUGUAUUGCUUCUUGGUCAAUCCAAAACCAAAAGGCGAGAGUUAGACGGAUAAGAAGAUCGUUGGACUAGCACAUGUGUAGAUAAUCCAUUAUCGAAAGGAGAUCAUCCAAUCUCAGCAAUUGCAGCAUGAUAUCAACCCUUGAUGAACUUGAAGUGGGGUGGGAACCCAUGUAAUUUGUGAAAUUUAUAAAUCCAUUGACCAGAUAUCUUGAAGAAAUUCCAAAUUAGAGCUACUCUUUCUAGUUAAAAGUUCAACCUUUAAGGAUAGAGCUUCUAUGGGGGAUAUGAUUGAGUAGGGAUAAUAUAGCUGAUAAUGAAUGAAGAAGAUUCAUAGCUAAAGUGAGAGGAUGGAUUGACUUUCCUGCGCCACCUAUAAUUCCAUAUCCUUGUUUAGUUAUGUUAGAAUACAAAAAAUCCCAGCAAUAUCAAAGGACCGAAAACUAGUUAUCCCGAAAAUAAAGGUAUUGUUACAUCUAUCCCAUUGUCUAGAUUUAGCUGAAUUGGCAAGGGGAUUCAGGCGGAUUACCAUCGAUAAUGAAAAUUUUAUUUCUAGAUGCCAAAUACACAAUUAUGAUCUUCUUCAACCACCGAAAUUGGAACAAGAAAAAUAAGACAACAACCAGGGGAAGACCAAGUAUAUUGGAGGAAUUAACAUAAAUAGGACUUGAGGUUAGUGGAGCCACUACUAACAUUAAAAUUAGUUGGAUUCGCAGCAACAUAGAGCAAUUUACACAUAGAGACACUCAAAAAAGUAUCAUGAAAAUCAAAAGAGGAGCAAAAGUACUCAUCUUUAUUACAACUAGAAGAUGGAAAACCUUCAAGAAUAAGAUGAAAAACAAGAGUAAGUAUCAUGAUCUAGCUGCAGAAAUAGAGGCUCGACAAACCCUAGCUUCGAUGGAGAUUUAGCAAUUCACCAAAAGUAAUUGAGCAGACCAAAUCAUGAAAAUAACUUACAAGAGAAGAGGGAGAACUCGCAAAGGAAAUGAAAAUCUUUCCGAUUACAAUCACUAGGCGAAAAUGAAAGACUCAAAAAAAAAAAAAAAUAGAGUGAGGGCACUACCAACUAAAGAGGAUGAUGACACCUGGCAAGAUCUUCACUAUGAUACUAUGUCAACAUUUAGAAUGAAGCAUAAAAUCAAAGAAAAAUGGCCUAGGGUUUUGAAUAGAGAAGAUAAAUGGUCAAGAGAAAAUAUCUUAUUAUUUUGUGAGGAAAUAUUAGAGUUGUCCAUCCAUUCAUUCGGUAAGAAGUUCAUUAGGUAUAGUCCCUUGUUGAGAAUUUAGGAAAUUAAGUGAAAAGUGUUAAUCCUAGAGUUAUAACUCAAUUCAAGGACAUAAUUAUAGAACUUAAUUCCACAAAAGUAUGCAGAUAAGAGAAUUUGUGAUAGAGUGGAUUCACGAAUAACACGUCUUAUUCAAAGAGUAGGUACAUGCAAUAUUUUGUGACUCAAUAUCUUAUAACGACGAUUUUAAUGAGAACUCUUCAAUAUAGGUGCACAUAUACAAAAAAGAAACUAUGUGGUGUUCAUAAUGACAUAGCAAGAAGUAGCUUGCUUGGUAACUUUAGAUUGGUGGGGCAGUGCCUUAGCUGAUGCACCCUGACUCUACAUCUGUAACAUAUAUUGGUAACAUACUAAUAUACUACAUAAUCCGGUGGUGUAGUGAUAUUAAAAGGCACCAGGGUACUCCCUUUAGCAACAAGUUCUACCAAUCUCUCCAUGGCCUAAUACAUUCUCCUAACAAACUCUUGUGAAAUCUCACCCGAAUUCAAUGGUGGGGUCAAUCCCUCCUUACAUGCUUCAAACUCAUGGAUUAUGGUGUCACACCUCUUUUAUCCUUACUACACCCAUGAAGAGGUAUAAUAAAGGGAGUUUUUUCCAAUUUAAGUGACAAUCGAAACAAGAUUAAUUAUUAAAAAUCAGAGAUGCCACUUGGAAUAAUUUAUGGUGUCCCAAAUCACCGGUUUAAAAUCCCAAAUCGAGGAAAAAAUGACUCUGUUAUUAUAGUCUGUGAAUCAGAAAUUCGAGUAAGGAAUUCUGUUAACCCGGGAGAAGGUGUUAGGCACUCCCGAAUUCUGUAGUUCUAGCAUGGUCUCUUUGAUCGUACUUGGCUUGUUAAAUUGUUUAAUUACUAAUUUUUAAGCCUAUGUGCCUUUGCUUCUUUUUACUGCUUUUAAUUAGAAAAUUAUCUUAAAACGGGUUACGUGUACGCAUACUCCAGUUUUAUUUUUAUAAGUGUGAUUGUGUUACACAGACGUAUAUGCAACCACACUAGUAUUUUAAACGACAUUAAAGGAUAUUCUACGAAAUAUUAUUUUAUCUAGCCUACGAAAUUACUAAAAGUCAUGAGUGGCUUUAAUGAACUUAUGAACUAAAAUAAUUACAGGCUUGUAAACUAAUUUAUUGUUAAGAAAGGAUUGAGCGAAGUUGCGGGAACGCAUACUCCAAAUUAAUUUAGGAUUAUGGACAUGUUAACUCAAAGUUUUAUAACUAUCUUAACACAAAGACCAUGGAAUUCGUGAUUUUGGUUCAGCCCGUCACAACUCAAAUUAAUUAAAGGGAUUAUCAAUGAACUAGGUUCUAAAGUAAUCAAAACCAAUUCUUCUUUUUUUUUUAAAAGAAAAACUGAAUCUAAAACAUGACCCAAUAGGCUUUGAGACAGGAAGUCUAAUCUUCUUUGCUUCUCCCAUAACUUGGGCCUGACCUGAGGCCGAAUCAUAAAAAAAAGUUCAGGUGAAACAACAACGCCCUAAGCACUCUGCAUUCUAUUAUCGUAGCAAAUAUGAAUAUCUAAACGCAUACAUGAAUUGUUCUAAGAAAUUGACACACACAUGUAAAAUUUCCUGACCACUUCAAAACAGUUUCAGCAUAUCAACCAACAUGUUAAUAAAACUAUGCGUGCUGGAAUUUUGACAUAAACCAAAGCAAACCAUAAAACCAAGCGAAGAGAACGAAAAGGGGUGUAAAUCUGAUUACAUACUUGAGUUUCAUUUGAGAUUCAAACGAGAAGGCAUAACGUGAAUAAGCUUGAUAUUAAUGGAUCACACCUCAAGCUAUACAUAAAAUGAGCUUGGAGUUGUGAUGCACGAGAAAACUAGAUCCAACGCAGGCAUCCUGAACUAACAAACAUUUGACCUUCAAGUACGCUCAAAACCAAAUAAAUUCAUAGUCAAGCGAUCGAGUCCUUCAGUUAAUACCUGUUAAGCCGACUACAUAUAUCUAACCUAUAAUGUUGCUGAAUUUAAAGCACUCAUAGCAGAUCUAAUACUAAUUCCAGGAUACAAAUACGGUACUGAUUAUUGAUGAAUUACAUAUUGAAAAAAAUAAAGUUGGGCUAAAGGCAUCUGAAAACAAAGUGCAAAAAUUUCCAAACAAGACUUCCCUCUUCAAACAGUAGUUACAUCCUUGCAAAAAUCUCAAUUCCAUUCAAGUUUCGAAUGAAAUACCUGGAGAGAAGAAACAAGAAAUGAGGGACAAUUUUCAGCUCCUAAAACCUUUCUUUUGUGUGUUUUUCUGAAUUUUUACUAUCUAAAAACCCUUCGAAUAGCAGCCUUUGUUAUAAUGACUUUAUAGGCAAAUCCUUAAGGUGCCUUUCAGAUUCUUUGUUUUCAUUUUUAGUCCCCUAUUUUAUAACUUGUUUCCCAAGUUAUACCCUGAAAUUUACUAGCAGAUUCCUGCUAGAAACUUCCAGGUUAGUUACAAAAUAUUCCUCACCUAAACUACCCAAAUCACCCCCUAUAGCCAUCACUAUUUACCCUCCUCUGAAAAACAGAUAUGGGCUCAAGUGAGGCACAUACAGGCCAAAACCAUGUGGGCUACCAGAAUUACCUGCCCCGCUUUGGGCUCCCUCUUUUUAUAAAGCCCAAACGUGAUUAAUACAAAAAAGCAGUGCAAUUCAUAAAUCAGUAAAGCAUGACCAAAACUACGAUACUAUUGAAGCUAUGAACGACGACACUUCUAAUUCAAAUGGAACAAGAAAUAGAUCAAAUAAUGAUUUUACUAAGCAAUCGAUGUAUGAUUAUCACACCAGAACUAAUGUUUAAAAACAAGAUAGCAAACAACAAAAGAAAAAAAACAAAAAAGAAUUAAAAAUUGCAGUAAAGAGGGGAACAAUGUACCAGGUUAUAAUAGCAGAUUGACAAAUUCAAAGAAAUCAACGACUAAGGAGGAUCUGAUAAGCGUCGAAAUUUUAAUACGAGCGUUAACCAAAAUUUCUCCGACGGCUAAUGCUCCAUAUCACAAUCUUCGACACCUAUCUUUAAAAUGAGACGAACCAAAACUUGGAGCAUGGAUUGCUUGGCUAACAUUGGCUUCCAUGAGGGGCCUGGAAUUUGACUGAAUAACCAACUGAUCCCUCGUGCUAGUAUCAAAAGAAGCAAAUAUCGGAAAAACACAGAGGAAAUCGGACGAGACGAAGCCAACUCAGAUUAUAUACCUUCCGAGAUUUGAAAUUCAUGGGAAUCGAGCGACAUUUGGAGAAAACUAGUGGUGGAUUUGGAAUGGGAAAGCAACAAGGAUUAUGAGGUCAAAUUUUGAGGAGGUUUGGAGAUCGCCGCUGCUGGCGAUCUCCGGCGGCGGCGACGGGAGAUGAGGGGUUGUACUUGAUCCUAGGUUUACUAAUGGUUAUUUGGACAUAUUAAGGUAAAUGUAGAGGUAAUUGUGACCUUUGGAUGGG